rnacentral:rRNA from 1 species
CAAUAGCGUAUAUUAAAGUUGUUGCAGUUAAAAAGCUCGUAGUUGGAUUUCUGGUUGAAGCGACCGGUCGGGCGUUGAUUCGUCUGCACUGGAGUCGGUUUUGGCCAUCCUCUAGGAAAGUGCGUCUGGUAUUAAGUUAUCGGGCGUAUGAUCCUGGUCUUUUACUGUGAAAAAAUUAGAGUGUUUAAAGCAGGUCUUCGCCUUGAAUACAUUAGCAUGGAAUAAUAAGAUAGGACUUUGGUCUAUUUUGUUGGUUUGCAGACCGAAGUAAUGAUUAAUAGGGAUAGUUGGGGGUAUUUAUAUUCCGAUGUCAGAGGUGAAAUUCUUAGAUUUUCGGAAGAUAAACUUAUGCGAAAGCAUUUACCAAGGAUGUUUUCAUUA